rnacentral:rRNA from 1 species
UACGAAGGGUGCAAGCGUUACUCGGAAUUACUGGGCGUAAAGCGUGCGUAGGUGGUUUGUUAAGUCUGUUGUGAAAGCCCCGGGCUCAACCUGGGAAUGGCAAUGGAUACUGGCAAGCUAGAGUGCGGUAGAGGGUAGUGGAAUUCCUGGUGUAGCGGUGAAAUGCGUAGAUAUCAGGAGGAAUACCGAUGGCGAAGGCAGGUCUCUGGGCUGACACUGACGCUCAUGCACGAAAGCGUGGGGAGCAAACAGG